rnacentral:rRNA from 1 species
AUGUCGGAGGUUUGGUCCUUACCUGACUUGGCUGCUAUUAGAAAUACAGGUAAGGAAUGGCUGCUUCAUGUCCUUGACCCAUUGCCAGAAAUCGAGAGGUGCAUGCUUCUUAUGACUUUGUGGAGGAUUUGGCACAUCCGUAACGAAGUGUUACACCAUAAACCUGCGCCCCCAAUGGAAGCGUCCAGGAGGUAUUUGUCCUUAGUUACAUACGACAGGCCACUUAAAAAUCCACAUGUUCGAAUAGUUGAGAGCACUCCUGUCAAAUGGUGUCCCCCUAUGGCGGGUUGGGUGAAACUGAAUACUGAUGGGUCCUUUGCAGUAAAUGGUACGGCUGGUGCGGGGAUGGUGCUGCGAGAUGACAAAGGCGAGGAAAGCCGCCGGGACGCCAGCAGGGAGGAAGGCAAGUUCAUCGCGGCCGUGCCUGGUUUCAAGCUCCUGCCCCUUCCUCCCAACGCUCCCUGA